rnacentral:rRNA from 1 species
UACGUAGGUGGCAAGCGUUAUCCGGAAUUAUUGGGCGUAAAGCGCGCGCAGGCGGUUUGUCGCGUCUGCUGUGAAAACUCGGGGCUUAACUCCGGGCCUGCAGUGGGUACGGGCAGACUAGAGUGCGGUAGGGGAGACUGGAAUUCCUGGUGUAGCGGUGAAAUGCGCAGAUAUCAGGAGGAACACCGGUGGCGAAGGCGGGUCUCUGGGCCGUAACUGACGCUGAGGAGCGAAAGCGUGGGGAGCGAACAGG